GGAAUUACUGGGCGUAAAGCGAGCGUAGGUGGCUUGAUAAGUCAGAUGUGAAAUCCCCGGGCUUAACCUGGGAACUGCAUCUGAAACUGUUAGGCUAGAGUAGGUGAGAGGGAAGUAGAAUUUCAGGUGUAGCGGUGAAAUGCGUAGAGAUCUGAAGGAAUACCGAUGGCGAAGGCAGCUUCCUGGCAUCAUACUGACACUGAGGCUCGAAAGCGUGGGUAGCAAACAGGAUUAGAUACCCUGGUAGUCCACGCCGUAAACGAUGUCUACUAGUCGUUGGGUCCCUUGAGGACUUAGUGACGCAGCUAACGCAAUAAGUAGACCGCCUGGGGAGUACGGCCGAAGGUUAAAACUCAAAUGAAUUGACGGGGGCCCGCACAAGCGGUGGAGCAUGUGGUUUCAAUUCGAUGCACGCGA
rnacentral:rRNA from 1 species